rnacentral:rRNA from 1 species
UACGUAGGGGGCAAGCGUUAUCCGGAUUUACUGGGUGUAAAGGGGGCGCAGACGGCAGCGCAAGCCAGGAGUGAAAGCCCGGGGCCCAACCCCGGGACUGCUCUUGGAACUGCGCGGCUGGAGUGCAGGAGGGGCAGGCGGAAUUCCUGGUGUAGCGGUGAAAUGCGUAGAUAUCAGGAGGAACACCGGUGGCGAAGGCGGCCUGCUGGACUGCGACUGACGUUGAGGCCCGAAAGCGCGGGGAGCAAACAGG